AUUGAACGCUGGCGGAAUGCUUUACACAUGCAAGUCGAACGGUAGAGGGGGCAACCCCUCGAGAGUGGCGAACGGGUGAGUAAUAUAUCGGAACGUGCCCAGUCGUGGGGGAUAACGUAGCGAAAGUUACGCUAAUACCGCAUACGAUCUAAGGAUGAAAGCGGGGGAUCGCAAGACCUCGCGUUAAUGGAGCGGCUGAUAUCUGAUUAGCUAGUUGGUGAGGUAAAGGCUCACCAAGGCGACGAUCAGUAGCUGGUCUGGGAGGACGACCAGCCACACUGGAACGGAGACGCGGUCCAGACUCCUACGGGAGGCAGCAGUGGGGAAUUUUGGACAAUGGGCGCAAGGCUGAUCCAGCCAUUCCGCGUGAGUGAAGAAGGCCUUCGGGUUGUAAAGCUCUUUCGCAAGGGAAGGAAACUUACUUUCUAAUAAAGAGUGAGGUUGACGGUACCUUGAUAAGAAGCACCGGCUAACUACGUGCCAGCCGCCGCGGUAA
rnacentral:rRNA from 1 species